rnacentral:snRNA from 1 species
AUCCUUUCUGGCCUUUUGGCUUAGAUCAAGUGUAGUAUCUGUUCUUAUCAGUUUUGAUUACUGGUAGACCCACAUUGUGGGUCAACAAAUCAAAUCUUAUCUUUACUCUGCCUGACCCGUGGUUCUUGAGCUUGCUCUCCUGCGUUUGGUCGCGAUGUUCGCGCUCUUUCACUCCUGGCGUGCGAUGUCAGGGCUUC